GACGAACGCUGGCGGCGUGCCUAAUACAUGCAAGUCGAACGCAUUUUCUUUCACCGUAGCUUGCUACACCGGAAGAAAAUGAGUGGCGAACGGGUGAGUAACACGUGGGUAACCUGCCCAUCAGCGGGGGAUAACACUUGGAAACAGGUGCUAAUACCGCAUAAUUCCAUUUACCGCAUGGUAGGUGGAUGAAAGGCGCUUUUGCGUCACUGAUGGAUGGACCCGCGGUGCAUUAGCUAGUUGGUGGGGUAACGGCCUACCAAGGCUGCGAUGCAUAGCCGACCUGAGAGGGUGAUCGGCCACACUGGGACUGAGACACGGCCCAGACUCCUACGGGAGGCAGCAGUAGGGAAUCUUCGGCAAUGGACGCAAGUCUGACCGAGCAACGCCGCGUGAGUGAAGAAGGUUUUCGGAUCGUAAAACUCUGUUGUUAGAGAAGAACAAGGAUGAGAGUGGAAAGUUCAUCCCUGACGGUAUCUAACCAGAAGUMUGWYUUUYG
rnacentral:rRNA from 1 species